rnacentral:lncRNA from 1 species
CUAAAAGUAACGUGUUUGACCAGCACAUGUUGAGAUUACUGGUUUGAUAGCACCGUGACGCUAGGAAAAAUGUUAGUUAUAUAGUUAUCUGAAGAAUAGCAGGGAUGGUUACCCGAGUCAUAAACUUCCUUAUUUUCAAAACGGAGCUCUGUGUAUGUGUGUGCGUGCCUGUUUUUAAUAUGCCUUGUAAUGCAGUAGGGCUUGGUUAGCACAGAUUUGGCUGCACACAGGUUCACACAACAUAAUCCCAGAACAUGGCUUUAAAGGAGGAUCUAUUGCGAGACAUGCAGAAGUGUUUUUACAACCUGAAUGUUGAAGAGGAUAAAAAAGAGACAGUAAUUCCGAGAGAACGGUGUGUGCAUGAAAA